AGAAUAAGCACCCCGCCAAAUUUGGUGCCGCCACCGCGGUAUAUACGGAAGGGGGCCAGCGUUACUCGGAAAUACUGGGCGGUAAGCGGUGCGUAGGCGUGUUUGUUAAAGUCUGUCGUUAAAAGCCCUGGGCUCAACCUGGGGAAUGGGCGAUGGGAUACUGGCAAGCUAGAGUACGGUAGAGGAUGGUGGAAUUCCCGGUGUAGCGGUGAAAUGCGUAGAGAUCGGGAGGAACACCCGUGGCGAAGGCGGCCAUCUGGACCAGUACUGACGCUGAGGCACGAAAGCGUGGGGAGCAAACAGGAUUAGAUACCCUGGUAGUCCACGCCCUAAACGAUGCGACCUUGAUGUUGGGCACACUUAGGUGCUCAGUGUCGAAGCUAACGCGUUAAGUUCGCCGCCUGGAGAGUACGCCCGCAAGACUGAAACUCAAAGGAAUUGACGGGGGCCCGCACAAGCGGUGGAGUAUGUGGUUUAAUUCGAUGCAACGCGAAGAACCUUACCUGGCCUUGACAUGUCCGGAAUCCUGCAGAGAUGCGGGAGUGCCUUCGGGA
rnacentral:rRNA from 1 species